GUGAGGAAUAUUGCUCAAUGGGCGCAAGCCUGAAGCAGCGACGCCGCGUGGGUGAAGAAGGCCUUCGGGUCGUAAAACCCUUUUCUGCGUGACGAGAGAGGACGGUAGCGCAGGAAUAAGUCUCGGCUAACUACGUGCCAGCAGCCGCGGUAAAACGUAGGAGACGAGCGUUAUCCGGAGUUACUGGGCGUAAAGGGCGUGCAGGCGGUUGGUUAAGUCAGAUGUGAAAGGUCCCGGCUAAACCGGGAUAGGUCGUCUGAUACUGGCUGACUCGAGGACGGUAGAGGCGUGUGGAAUUCCGGGUGUAGUGGUGAAAUGCGUAGAGAUCCGGAGGAACACCAGAGGCGAAGGCGACACGCUAGGCCGUACCUGACGCUAAGACGCGACAGCAUGGGGAGCAAACGGGAUUAGAAACCCUAGUAGUCC
rnacentral:rRNA from 1 species